rnacentral:snRNA from 1 species
AGGAGACCUUGCUGUGACAUAGGUCACUCUGCUUGUUAAUCACCAGGCUCAAUUCAACUGGCUAGGCAGGUUUCCCCUGCUGCUAUAUCUGUGUCCUGCCUAGAGUUACCUGCAGUAGAAGGGUAUGAACUUCCCUAAGAGAAAAGAGCUGUUCUUGGGUCAAGGAUGUAGUAGGUGCUGUUCCCUUCUGCUAGAAUCUCCAAACGAGUUCAUGUUAUAUGACUCCAGUGUUAUAACUGAUAGACAAGGGUCAUCUCUGUAAAACAUUAGACAUUUGCUGUAAACCAGAAUGU